rnacentral:tRNA from 1 species
CCCCGCUUAGCUCAACGGCAGAGCGUUCGGCUGUAGAUGCUGCCUGACAAUCAGCAUUGCUGGAAUGGAUGAUGAGCAGCCAGCUGAUCCCGAAAGGUUCGCGGUUCAAAUCCGCGAGCGGGGA